ACCGUGGCAAAGAAAAAGAAAUAAACGCAGCGCCCCCACUGUCCCCGCCGCACCCCCAUCUCUUCCACCUCCCGAUCUCGACCAUCUCACCUCCCCGCCACCGGGAUCCAGCCAACGGCGAGUCGGCGACCGCCAUCAACCCACCUCCCCGCCGCCGGGAUCCAGCCACCCAGCGCGCUGGCGCCGCCUCGAACCCCACAGGCACCUCAUGUGCCGCCGUCACGUCUCCUUCACCAUCGCUAGCGAGCGCACCGCCGCCACAACCACCGCCUCUCGACAGCGCCGGCGCGCACGGAUCCGGCAGGAUCCCGACCGAAGCGGGCCACCCCUGCAACCCCCGGUGACGCCCACCCCCCUGCGCACCGCCUCCUGGACCUCCCGGCGUCGCUCAACCCUCUGCAUCUCCCAUUGAUGCGCCGCCACCUCCACCUCCCACCGGUGCGCUGCCCCUCCCGAUAAGCGCCACCACUUCACGCCCCCACACCGCUGCCCCUGCUUCAGCUCCACCCGUCGCCGCAGUCCAACAUCUCCAACUGCAGUCGUUCGCCGCUUGAGGUGAUGCACUGCUUUCCAACAGACAUCGACCCAAUGACCCGAGUCAAGGUCCAGCUUGCCAACUCCAGCAUCCUCUCUGCAUUGUGGAACAUGAAACUCUUUGGAAGCUGCCGGUUGUCACUGAAAGCACAUGUGAAUGUGGGGUAUUUUUCUUGGGGUAGUGAUAUAUUUGUCUCAGUAGCUUACAUGCAUGUUGCAAUGUGAGAGUAUUUUUACUGAGCAUUCGAUGUAAUGGGGUUCUGCUUACAUACAUAUCCUGAAUGUUUGUUCCAUCACACAUGUCCUUGAAUGUUCGUCCCAUGAUGUAAUGGGGUUAUGCUUACAUACAUGUCCUGAAUGGCCCUAGGACGUUCGCUGCCGCAGUGAUCUUGAUCACACUGUCACGAUGCACCGCAAGGCCGAGAUCUUUCCAUUCUCGGCCUUAUUUAAUUUCCUUAUUUCAAGAUUUGUGUAUUUUCAGGCUUAAAUCAUGUAUGCUGUACACAGGAGUGAAGUUCAGUUUUCCGGAGAAAGAGGCGUUGCCAUGACCGAUGCUGGCUGUUCGUGCAUGGAAGUCCGUGUAUUCUGUUUGAAAACCUGGGAGCAUGCCCAAAACAUUCAGAAAUAUCAAUGACAGAAGUUCGAAUAUAGGGAGGUUGAUGCUUUGUGUGUGUAUACAUUUUUAGGGGAUCCUGUGUUUGUAUACAUGGCAACACAAUUUUUUGUGCAUGAUAUGUAGUUCUACAAUAGCAGUUGAAUAAGGAAACAAUUUCUUUUGGCA